UGGCGUCGUAGAUGAUGUUCAUCUGCGCCUCCGCCUCCGGCGUGGGCAGCUUGACGUCGUCGAAGAAGUAGGUGCCACCGACGAUGCCGAC
rnacentral:tRNA from 1 species